rnacentral:rRNA from 1 species
CUAAAAUAAAAUUUAAUAAUAGAGAUUGAAGGGCCGCGGUAACUCUGACCGUGCUAAGGUAGCAUAAUCAAUCGCUCCUUAAUUGGGGGCUAGUAUGAAAGGAAUAACGAACUUCUCCCUGUCUCAAGUACAGGCCAGUUGAAAUUUAGUACUUCGUUAAGACGCGAAGAACCCUUGAUCAGACGAGAAGACCCCGUCGAGCUUUACUUUAAUCUAUUUUCAAACGUGUCUUAGUUUAAAGGCUAAAAAAGGAUAGGGAAAAAGUUUAGUUGGGGUGACUUCCCAAAACAUAGAAACUUGGGUGAACAAAGGUGUGAGUUAAAUCAACUAGCUUUACCGAGAAGAGGACACUCUGUUCGGUCACUAAGAACCGUGAGUUUUAGCUACCCGUCUUUUAUGGAAAGACGACAUCGAAUAAAAGCUAC